GAAAGAGUCUAGCUAGUCUGCUAAACUAGCACCCCAAGCCCAACCCCUUGGCUCUUC
rnacentral:tRNA from 1 species